UGGGGAAUAUUGCACAAUGGGCGCAAGCCUGAUGCAGCCAUGCCGCGUGUAUGAAGAAGGCCUUCGGGUUGUAAAGUACUUUCAGUCGGGAGGAAGGUGUCAAGGUUAAUAACCUUGGCAAUUGACGUUACCGACAGAAGAAGCACCGGCUAACUCCGUGCCAGCAGCCGCGGUAAUACGGAGGGUGCAAGCGUUAAUCGGAAUUACUGGGCGUAAAGCGCACGCAGGCGGUUGAUUGAGUCAGAUGUGAAAUCCCCGGGCUUAACCCGGGAAUUGCAUCUGAUACUGGCCAGCUAGAGUCUUGUAGAGGGGGGUAGAAUUCCAUGUGUAGCGGUGAAAUGCGUAGAGAUGUGGAGGAAUACCGGUGGCGAAGGCGGCCCCCUGGACAAAGACUGACGCUCAGGUGCGAAAGCGUGGGGAGCAAACAGG
rnacentral:rRNA from 1 species